AACUUAAAGGAAUUGGACGGGGCCCGCACAAGCGGUGGAGUAUGUGGUUUAAUUCGAUGCAACGCGAAGAACCUUACCUAGGUUUGACAUCCGGAAGACCUUCCCGAAAAGGAAGGGUGCCCUUCGGGGAAUUCCGAGACAGGUGCUGCAUGGCUGUCGUCAGCUCGUGCCGUGAGGUGUUGGGUUAAGUCCCGCAACGAGCGCAACCCUAUUGCCAGUUGCUACCAGGUAAUGCUGGGCACUCUGGUGAGACUGCCCCGGUUAACGGGGAGGAAGGUGGGGACGACGUCAAGUCAUCAUGGCCCUUACGCCUAGGGCUACACACGUACUACAAUGGCGCAUACAAAGGGCAGCGAUACCGCGAGGUGGAGCCAAUCCCAAAAAGUGCGUCCCAGUCCGGAUUGCAGUCUGCAACUCGACUGCAUGAAGUUGGAAUCGCUAGUAAUUCGAGAUCAGCAUGCUCGGGUGAAUGCGUUCCCGGGCCUU
rnacentral:rRNA from 1 species